GACGGAGGGGGCAAGCGUUGUCCGGACUCACUGGGCGUAAAGGGUGCGUAGGCGGUUUGUCGCGUCGGCCGUGAAAUCUCCACGCUUAACGUGGAGCGUGCGGUCGAUACGGGCAGACUUGAGUUCGGUAGGGGAGACUGGAAUUCCUGGUGUAGCGGUGAAAUGCGCAGAUAUCAGGAGGAACACCGAUGGCGAAGGCAGGUCUCUGGGCAUUAACUGACGCUGAGGAGCGAAAGCAUGGGGAGCGAACAGG
rnacentral:rRNA from 1 species